rnacentral:lncRNA from 1 species
CUAGAACUUAAAUGUAUUCCCGCAUUAUACUGGUGGGCGACCUAGAACUUAAAUGUAUUCCCGCAUUAUACUGGUGGGCGACCUAGAACUUAAAUGUAUUCCCGCAUUAUACUGGUGGGCGACCUAGAACUUAAAAGUAUUCCCGCAUUAUACUGGUGGGCGACCUAGAACUUAAAUGUAUUCCCGCAUUAUACUGGUGGGCGACCUAGAACUUAAAUGUAUUCCCGUAUUAUACUGGUGGGCGACCUAGAACUUAAAUGUAUUCCCGCAUUAUACUGGUGGGCGACCUAGAACUUAAAUGUAUU